UACGAAGGGGGCUAGCGUUGUUCGGAAUUACUGGGCGUAAAGCGCACGUAGGCGGACUUGUAAGUUGGGGGUGAAAUCCCGGGGCUCAACCCCGGAAUUGCCUUCAAGACUGCAAGUCUGGAGGUCAGGAGAGGCGAGCGGAAUUCCGAGUGUAGAGGUGAACUUCGUAGAUAUUCGGAGGAACACCAGUGGCGAAGGCGGCUCGCUGGACUGAUACUGCCGCUGAGGUGCGAAAGCGUGGGGAGCAAACACG
rnacentral:rRNA from 1 species